rnacentral:rRNA from 1 species
UCAACUGUCUCCUUCCUCCAAUCAAUGAAAUUGAUCUUCUCGUGAAGAAGCGAGAAUAUUAUUAUUAGACGAGAAGACCCCAUGGAGCUUUAAACUUAUUACCAAUUACUUAACCGCUAAACCAUAAUAUGUAGUAAAAAUGUUCUUAAUAGUUUUCGGCUGGGGUGGCCCUGGAGUAAAAUAAACCCUCCAGAAUGAACGGAAUAAGACCCUAAUCUAAGAAUUACAGCUCAAAGAAUCAAAAAACUGACAUUAUUGAUCCAAUUAAUUGAUUAACGAAACAAGUUACCCUGGGGAUAACAGCGCAAUCCAUUUUGAGAGCCCCUAUCAACAAAUGGGUUUACGACCUCGAUGUUGGAUCGGGGUAUCCCGGUGGCGCAGCCGCUACUAAUGGUUCGUUUGUUCAACGAUUAACAACCCCACGUGAUCUGAGUUCAAACC